rnacentral:rRNA from 1 species
CGGCGGACGGGUGAGUAACGCGUAGGGAUCUGUCUCCGGGUGGGGGACAACCAUGGGAAACUAUGGCUAAUACCGCAUGACACCCGAGGGUCAAAGGCGUGGGGGCGACCCCGCGUCGCCGGGAGAGGAGCCUGCGUACGAUUAGCUUGUUGGCGGGGUAAUGGCCCACCAAGGCGACGAUCGUUAGCUGGUCUGAGAGGAUGAUCAGCCACACUGGGACUGAGACACGGCCCAG